rnacentral:rRNA from 1 species
UUCCCUGAGAUUAGCGGCGGACGGGUGAGUAACACGUGGGCAACCUGCCUAUAAGACUGGGAUAACUUCGGGAAACCGGAGCUAAUACCGGAUACGUUCUUUUCUCGCAUGAGAGAAGAUGGAAAGACGGUUUCGGCUGUCACUUAUAGAUGGGCCCGCGGCGCAUUAGCUAGUUGGUGAGGUAAUGGCUCACCAAGGCGACGAUGCGUAGCCGACCUGAGAGGGUGAUCGGCCACACUGGGACUGAGACACGGCCCAGACUCCUACGGGAGGCAGCAGUAGGGAAUCUUCCGCAAUGGACGAAAGUCUGACGGAGCAACGCCGCGUGAACGAAGAAGGCCUUCGGGUCGUAAAGUUCUGUUGUUAGGGAAGAACAAGUACCAGAGUAACUGCUGGUACCUUGACGGUACCUAACCAGAAAGCCACGGCUAACUACGUGCCAGCAGCCGCGGUAAUACGUAGGUGGCAAGCGUUGUCCGGAAUUAUUGGGCGUAAAGCGCGCGCAGGUGGUUCCUUAAGUCUGAUGUGAAAGCCCACGGCUCAACCGUGGAGGGUCAUUGGAAACUGGGGAACUUGAGUGCAGAAGAGGAAAGUGGAAUUCCAAGUGUAGCGGUGAAAUG